AUGAAUAGUUCCCUCUCGUUUGUACCACCGCGUGUUAAUUCAGUGCCCCAUGGAGGGCAUUUUGGUCAUUUCCCGUGCAGGUUUUUAAAGGGCAGCCGCUCUGUGUUGAACCCUAGCCGCCGCCUCCUCUCUCCUCCCGCGCGCGUCCUCUCCCCUCCCCUCCCACGCGCCUCCUCUCCUCCCGCGCACAUCGCCGCCGCCGCCUCGAACCGCCCCGUCGGCGGCCAGAUCCGCCACAACAGAGCCCCCCUCCCAACGACGACGAGCAGCAGCGGAGGGAGGACGAGGAGCACGACGGCGGCGGCGGCGUGGAGCAGCAGCAGGCCGACGAGCAGCAGCGGAAGGAGGACGAGGAGCAUGACGGCGCUCGCCCCGACCCCCAUCCUUGACCUCACGCCGCCUAUCGUCUCCUCCCCGGCCCAUCGUCGGUCGCCUCCCUCCUCCUCCUCCACAUCAGGGUCGGGCAGGAGGAUGAGCGCCCUCCCCCGCGUCCGCCUCAACGGGAGAAGGGCUGUUGCCGUCGCUGCCGACGAGGACAUCUACUUCCUUGGCGCUUGCCACUGCCUGUUGCAAGCCUCUGAUUUUUGUCUUUCUUUUCUUGCAGAUUCGUCCAUUGUCGCCGGUGCCUCCUUCUAUCUGGCCUUCACGGAUCAGUGGUUCAACCCUCCUCCUCCUCCUUAUUUUCACUCCUCUAUUCUAGGGUUGGAUGUAUACAUGUACUCCUCUAUUCUAGGGUUGGAUGUAUACAUGUGCUGCUGUGUGAAUGAGAGGAGAAGAGGGUAG
rnacentral:rRNA from 1 species